GCCUGCUCUUCCCCCUCAGACUCCUCCAUUUUCCAGUGGGCCCCUCCAGCAGCACAGCCCCCGCAGUCACUGCUCCCGCCCCACGCUUGACAAGAAGGCAGCCUCAUCCCUGACCCCCUGAGAGGCUACAGUCAGGGGCAACAGCAGGGGAGGAGGCGCAGGCAGCACCGCCCUGACACCCACCAUAUGGGAGGCGAGGAAGAUUUCUGGACCUGAGAGGGGCCCUAGAAGCACAUGCGUUGACAGUGGUGGGGAGCAGGUUGUCUCUAAUCCUAUGAACCAUUAAUCAACCAUGCUUUGGAUCUUUCUGCCUUCCUGGAAGAGGAGAUGAAGAUUGGCCUGCAGAGUGAUCAGUGAGCAAACGACCAGCUGUAUUAUGCCCAAUUUGAGGAAGAGAUCUAUGGCUUCAAAAGUUACCCAUGAAGUGACCCUUCAGCAGCCAAUCAUCCAGGUGAAAUAGAUGAGGUGUGUCCAGAAGGGCCACAUUGACAGGUUUCUUCUUGAGGAUCAGGUCUCCUAGUGAGGGCAGCAGAUGAAGGCUGCGUACCUCUGAGCAACGAAGAAUUGGACACCUCAGCCUGGUCUCAGGGAAAACCAAACUCCUGAGGUAACAAGCAUGCUGUUGGCACCGAGUCUGUGGUUUGCACAGAGCUAUUGUGAAUCUUGUCUGAUUCAAGGGAUAUGCAGUAGGAACCCAAGCAGGCUUCUUUGAUAACUAGGAAGCAGAGGAAGAGCUAUUCUUACCUCCUUGGUCUGCCGAUGGUCCCAACGAUCCCUCCAUACCUGAGGCUUUGCCAUCUUUCAGCUAACAAUGCCCUUGCUACCUUAGGAACCAGCAGCUUCAAAGCUACCAGACUGGAAUGCAGAACAUGCAGAUCUGGUUGAAGACUUCAAUAACCUCAGCUUUUUUGAGAUAGAUUCCCUACCUGGUGAACUCAGGGCAUGAUCUUUGGAAGACUUAUGAGACGUCUUCCUCUUAGAUGCCCUCGAGGAGCAUGGUUUAGAAAUAGUGGUGGCAGCAGACUUGCUUCGAGACUGGAGUACAGGAGGAGUCCCGUGGCCUGGGUCAGAAGAUGGAUGCAGCGAGCUCACUGUAAUGAGGAGAUGAAGUUUCAUCUCCCUUUUUUUUUCUGGCUCUAGAUUUCAAUGUCAGACAGAAGAUACACUUCUGGGAGUGAGCAAUUCUCCGAGACAAACAAUGCACUGGGAGUACCCAUCACUUACCAGGAUUGCCUCCUGGCACGACAGACAUUUCAAACUAAGAGAACCAGGCGUAACCUCCCAGUGAACAAGACUUAACUUAUCUAUAUAAUAUGAGAAUUUUUUUUAAACUAGGAAGCUAAAGCUACUACUGCUUACUAACUACCGGUAAUUACACUAAUACUAAGACCAACUAUAAAUGAAGCACUAGAAUAAAAACUGAGACACAGCUGAAGUAAUCUCAACAGGGACAACUGCCGGAGCUCCAUCGCAGGCUGAGGCAGUUGAGAAGCAACUGAGGGCGGUUUGCCUGUAGCAACUCACAGGACAUGACAAACUAGCAUCCAUGCACAGGCUGAAUGCACAUUGCUAUGAAAAGUCUCCAAUCAAUAGCACAGGGGAUGCAAGUGCACACAUAGAACACUAUUCAAAGAAGAAUAACCCAUUACUUAUAGAACAAAAGACUUAACUGUAUGAUGUAUACAAUUAUUUUUUA